UAGGGAAUCUUCGGCAAUGGACGAAAGUCUGACCGAGCAACGCCGCGUGAGUGAAGAAGGUUUUCGGAUCGUAAAACUCUGUUGUUAGAGAAGAACAAGGACGUUAGUAACUGAACGUCCCCUGACGGUAUCUAACCAGAAAGCCACGGCUAACUACGUGCCAGCAGCCGCGGUAAUACGUAGGUGGCAAGCGUUGUCCGGAUUUAUUGGGCGUAAAGCGAGCGCAGGCGGUUGCUUAAGUCUGAUGUGAAAGCCCCCGGCUCAACCGGGGAGGGUCAUUGGAAACUGGGGGACUUGAGUGCAGAAGAGGAGAGUGGAAUUCCAUGUGUAGCGGUGAAAUGCGUAGAUAUAUGGAGGAACACCAGUGGCGAAGGCGGCUCUCUGGUCUGUAACUGACGCUGAGGCUCGAAAGCGUGGGGAGCAAACAGG
rnacentral:rRNA from 1 species